GUGGGGAAUCUUAGACAAUGGGGGAAACCCUGAUCUAGCCAUGCCGCGUGAGCGAUGAAGGCCUUAGGGUUGUAAAGCUCUUUCAGAUGGGAAGAUAAUGACGGUACCAUCAGAAGAAGCCCCGGCUAACUCCGUGCCAGCAGCCGCGGUAAUACGGAGGGGGCUAGCGUUGUUCGGAAUUACUGGGCGUAAAGCGCACGUAGGCGGACCAGAAAGUCAGAGGUGAAAUCCCAGGGCUCAACCUUGGAACUGCCUUUGAAACUCCUGGUCUUGAGGUCGAGAGAGGUGAGUGGAAUUCCGAGUGUAGAGGUGAAAUUCGUAGAUAUUCGGAGGAACACCAGUGGCGAAGGCGGCUCACUGGCUCGAUACUGACGCUGAGGUGCGAAAGCGUGGGGAGCAAACAGGAUUAGAAACCCCUGUAGUCC
rnacentral:rRNA from 1 species